rnacentral:rRNA from 1 species
AGACGUCUACAUUAGAUACCCCCGUAGUCCCAGCCGUAAACUAUGCGCGUUAGGUGUAUCGGUGACCACGAGUUACCGAGGUGCCGAAGGGAACCGUGAAACGUGCCGCCUGGGAAGUACGGUCGCAAGGCUGAAACUUAAAGGAAUUGGCGGGGGAGCACAACAACGGGUGGAGCCUGCGGUUUAAUUGGACUCAACGCCGGACAACUCACCGGGAACGACAGCAAUAUGUAGGCCAGGCUGAAGACCUUGCCUGAAUCGCUG